CUACGGGGCGCAGCAGUGGGGAAUAUUGCACAAUGAGCGAAAGCUUGAUGCAGCCAUACCGCGUGUGUGAAGAAGGCCCGAGGGUUGUAAAGCACUUUCAAUUGGGAGGAAGGUUAAGUAGUUAAUACCUGCUUAAUUUGACGUUACCUUUAGAAGAAGCACCGGCUAACUCUGUGCCAGCAGCCGCGGUAAUACAGAGGGUGCAAGCGUUAUUCGGAAUUACUGGGCGUAAAGCGCGCGUAGGCGGAUUAUUAAGUCAGUUGUGAAAGCCCUGGGCUCAACCUGGGAACUGCAUCUGAUACUGGUAGUCUAGAGUUUAACAGAGGGAAGUGGAAUUCCAGGUGUAGCAGUGAAAUGCGUAGAUAUCUGGAGGAACAUCAAUGGCGAAGGCGACUUCCUGGCUUAAAACUGACGCUGAGGUGCGAAAGCGUGGGUAGCGAACGGGAUUAGAUACCCCAGUAGUC
rnacentral:rRNA from 1 species